rnacentral:rRNA from 1 species
AACGAACGCUGGCGGCAGGCCUAACACAUGCAAGUCGAGCGAGAAACCUUCGGGUUUCUAGCGGCGGACGGGUGAGUAAUACGUGGGUAACCUGCCUCAAAGAGGGGGAUAGCCUUCCGAAAGGAAGAUUAAUACCGCAUAAUAUUACGGCUUCGCAUGAAGCAGUAAUUAAAGGAGUAAUCCGCUUUGAGAUGGACCCGCGGCGCAUUAGCUAGUUGGAGAGGUAACGGCUCACCAAGGCAAUGAUGCGUAGCCGACCUGAGAGGGUGAUCGGCCACAUUGGAACUGAGACACGGGCCAGACUCCGACGGGAGGAAGCAGUGGGGAAUAUUGCAAAAUUGGCGAAAGCCUGAUGCAGCAACGCCGCGUGAGUGAUGAAGGUCUUCGGAUUGUAAAGCUCUGUCUUUUGGGACGAUAAUGACGGUACCAAAGGAGGAAGCCACGGCUAACUACGUGCCAGCCGCCGCAGUAA